UACAGAGGGGGCAAGCGUUGUUCGGAAUUACUGGGCGUAAAGGGCGCGUAGGCGGCCGCCUAAGUCAGACGUGAAAUCCCUCGGCUCAACCGGGGAACUGCGUCUGAUACUGGGUGGCUUGAAUCCGGGAGAGGGAUGCGGAAUUCCAGGUGUAGCGGUGAAAUGCGUAGGUAUCUGGAGGAACACCGGUGGCGAAGGCGGCAUCCUGGACCGGCAUUGACGCUGAGGCGCGAAAGCCAGGGGAGCAAACGGG
rnacentral:rRNA from 1 species